GACGAACGCUGGAGGCGUGCUUAACACAUGCAAGUCGAACGAUGAAAUGGAGCUUGCUCCAUGGAUUAGUGGCGAACGGGUGAGUAACACGUGAAUAACCUGCCCUUAAUUUUGGAAUAACCCAGGGAAACCUGGGCUAAUACCGGAUAAGUAAACCUGUGGCAUCACAUGGUUUUGGAAAGUUUUUCGAUUAAGGAUGGAUUCGCGGCCUAUCAGCUUGUUGGUGAGUUAAUGGCUCACCAAGGCGACGACGGGUAGCCGGCCUGAGAGGGUGAACGGCCACCAUGGGACUGAGACACGGCCCAGACUCCUACGGGAGGCAGCAGGGGGGAAUAUUGCGAAAUGGACGAAAGUCUGACGCAGCGACGCCUCGUGAGGGACGAAGGUCUUCGGAUUGUAAACCUCUUUCAGCAGGGACGAAGCGAAAGUGACGGUACCUGCAGAAGAAGCACCGGCUAACUAUGUGCCAGCCGCCGCAGUAA
rnacentral:rRNA from 1 species